rnacentral:rRNA from 1 species
UACGAAGGGGGCUAGCGUUGCUCGGAAUCACUGGGCGUAAAGGGCGCGUAGGCGGCCAUUCAAGUCGGAGGUGAAAGCCCAGGGCUCAACCCUGGAAUUGCCUUCGAUACUGUUUGGCUAGAGACCGGAAGAGGUAAGUGGAACUGCGAGUGUAGAGGUGAAAUUCGUAGAUAUUCGCAAGAACACCAGUGGCGAAGGCGGCUUACUGGUCCGGUUCUGGACGCUGAGACGCGAAAGCGUGGGGAGCGAACAGG